rnacentral:lncRNA from 1 species
ACUUUCUUCACUCUCCUAGCGGGCUUCAAUGUUCAUCAACAAGUCUCAGAGAGGCUUUCUCUCUGCUGUUCACUGCUGCUCUAUCUUCUUGAACUCCUAACAAUGGUCUUUAUGGCACCUGGUGCCUCUGCUGCCCUAUCUGGAUCCCUGUGCAGUCCAAGAUGGCGUUACUCUUAUACGGGGGACCCUAGAGGAUGUCAUAUAUCACAGAAAACUCACUGCACUGCCGGCCCUUAGAGAAGAAAUUGAAAAUGCAUGUGCAGCAGUCUCAGUGACCAAGGUUACCUAAGCGGUUCGCCAUACUAGUAAAUGUGUGGGAGCUCAUGGCCACCACUUUGAGCACCUCUUGUAAUUGUAGAGGCCAGAGGUAACUAACUUAUAUUAAUCUCAGGAUGUCUCAAUGAAUUUAGUAUUAAAAUAAUUAUGCAAGUUUUUCUUUUCCUAAUUUAAGUAAAAAAAUAAAAUGUUGCACACUCAUUUAAGCCAAGC